CGGUUUCCACACGGAAUCAAAAGGGAAUCCCGGGCGCGCCGAGGGCGGGCCAAAGGGAACUGCCCCCGCAACUGUAGGUGCCGAGCCUGCGCCAUCGAUGCCACUGGGUCUGCCGACCCGGGAAGGCCGGCGCCGGCCAGGACGCACCAGUCAGGAGACCUGCCGGCACGCA
rnacentral:ncRNA from 1 species